AUGGAUUCUUUUAAUAUUCUAUUCAAGUGCAAACACACCAUCCGAAUUUGGACCACCGCUAAAAAUUGGGUGGAUGCUCCAGAGCUCGCCAUUGCAAAUUGGGGAGGCCUCCAUUUUGUUCAUGCUUGGUUGAAGGCUACGGUUCUCCAUCCUGGACAUAGGGGGAAGCCGGUCUCCUCGCUGAUCAUGUUGGUUAACUAGGAGGUUUGGAAGGAGAGAAACACUAGAGUCUCUCGCAACAUUUCCUUCAUGCCACCCAUUGUUAUUGAUAACAUCAAAGCGGAGGCCAAAAAUUGGGGUGUUGCAGGGACUAUGCAUUUGAGUUAUAUCAUGUCGUGA
rnacentral:rRNA from 1 species